rnacentral:tRNA from 1 species
GUUGGCGUGGCCGAUUGGUAAAGGCGAUGGACUAGAAAAAUCUUUUGGGAUCUUCCCGCGCAGGUUCGAAUCCUGCCGACAUCG